rnacentral:lncRNA from 1 species
UGAGUCCCCACAAACCCCAAAAUAUAUGAUUUGCUGCAGUGUAGUUUUCAGUUGCUUUCACUAACUGGUUCACUUUAGCAUUGCUUGGUUUAUUGCCUGUGUACAAGGAAUUGCCAAAAUACAUAACAUGAUUUUGACAACACAAGUUGAGGAGUGAAUGAGACAUCACAUUCAUACAUACAUUGAAGAGAUAACGAGCUUAGAAUAGAAUAAGCUGAUAACUACUUAAACUGUGUAAAGAUAAAAAGUUCUAAUUAUUAAUUUCUUUGAGGGUUUUAUCAUCAGGGAGUAGAUUAAUAGCAGUUAUCUAUAUUCAGAUUUAUGAGAAUCAUGAGUGGUCAAGUCAGUGUACUAACCUUCAGAACUCAGAUAGAUGCGGAUAAAUCUUUGACGUUCCUCUAGUCCUGGUUUAUCAUAUCCAAUUUGGUGUGUCAGCAAUUCAGAGUGAUUUCAGUAAUUUGGUGUGUCAGUAAUUUGUGCAGCAAAGAAUUUACAAACAAGAACUUUACCUGGAUAUUUCUUGAAGUCAAGAACAUGAGGUGUGUCACUGUGGUAAUCAGCCACCAUUUCACAGAAAUGAUUUGCUAUGUCAUAAGCAAUAGGAUUAUAACUUGCAUAUUCAUAGUCCUGUAUAAUGAAAAGAAAUUAAAAAACCAACAAAAGGUAAGUUUGCAGUAAGAUUUAUAUGACCGAUAAAAGAUGACAGGAGCCUGUAAAAUGGUAUUAUCCUCCUAUGUCUCAAAUUUUCAAGGACAUACAUAUACCAGAGGCAAAGAAU